GACUCCUUUUCUGCUUCGUCCUCAGCAGUUUCACUAUGCCUCUAUGAACAAGGGAGGCUGUCUGCUUCCUCACUCAAUGUGUGGAGGGUUGUAGAUAUUUUUAGUUGAAUUUUGGGCAGGCAAGCGUUAAUUUUGGGGGACUAUUUGUGGCUAUUUUGUGUGAGAUUAUGAUCUGCUCAGUGUUUCCUCUGUUUGCUUGUGUUUGUGUGAUGUCUUUUGUAGGUUCUAUCAUGGUUGCGGUUCUCACCAGAGAUGGUUUAGGUCUUGUACUUUUGCACUUCUUCAGCCAUGUUCCUUGUGGAAGAUAAUUGAGCUCCAAUGGAUCUAUAUGAGAUAACGGUGUGAGAGAGCAGUGGCCGGUGGAGAUUUCUCGAGGGGUUAACACCAAUAGGUAUGGCGACUUAAAAGGCACGAUUCGAACGCCAAAGAGAGCCUUCAUAUCCUCCCUUCGUUGACCGUAAUGGCUUCUAUAAUCUUCAGCUUAGUAGUUCAUCGAACCCUUUGUUUUUCCAAAUCUUCCUCGAGUAAAUAAAUUUGGCUCUUAGUCGAAGGUUAUGUUUACUGCUCAUUUUAGUUUGCCUGUUGUUGUUCGUUGAGACAAGCAGAGACCGACGGUGCUCUCCCCGGUCAGAUGCGAUGCUGUUUCUCACUGACAGUUCUCCUCCUAUGUUAUACGGCACCAUGCUUCUUGCCGGUCGAAUUGUGCUUUCUACCUUCAAUCUGCCUUUUAAAGGCCUUUAAUGAAUUUUAUCUUAAAAAGAAAAAUCACGGGAUAGCAAAUAAACAAACAUACGGGCAUUCAUUAGUAAAGUUCAUGCGUUCCGUGAGUCGUAAGCAUCAUUUCAAAUUUUCAAUUAUAGAUUGCUACUGUCAAUCAUGAUCUUCGAAGUUCAAACUACGCAAUGAAUAUAAAGAUAAAAUUUACAUCAGAUCACUCUUCUUUCUGCUUAAAUCCUUUUUUUUUUUUUAAAUCUUCUUAGAAUUGAUAUAAAAAUUUAAUCACACUAAUUAUAUGUGGAAUGGAAAUUGGGCAAUUUUCCUUGAAUAAUCUUCGUUUAAUUCCUACUUUUUGCAUACAAUUAUAUUCUGAAACUACAAAAGAGGAAUUAGAUACAUAUAAUGAUAUUUACUUUGGAUUUAGAGAAUGGUGAUCUAACUGUAGAUAUCAAUAAGCACGGAUAUGCUACCGCUCCUCUGAGUUGAAUUUAUUCCAAGCUUCCUGCAAAUCAACCACCAAUCAAAUAAUAAGAAAAACUAUUUUACAUGCGCGCACACACACAUAUAUAUACCAAGUGAUCAAACCAUUCCUGCUUUAUGCCACAACAAAAUUAUGCUUUAGAAGGUAGACUUCAUGUCCAACUCAAAAGUGUAAAUUCUAGAGAUGACAGAUGGCUAUUUAAUCAUGGUAAGUGGAACGAGCAAGAAGUAUAUCUUGCCCUAAACGGGGCAAGAAUUUGUUGCCUCUAAUCCUAAAAUAAGGGUGGGAUGAAUCAUGCAGAGGACUCCCUAUAGCUGCAUGAGAUGGAAAGGAUUAUGAAUAAAAAUUGUCUAAAAUGCACCAAAUCUUUGUUGCAUAUGGUGGAAAAGGUGAGGACAAAUGGGAGACUUUCCUAUGAAGACUUUUCCCUUGCUAUGAAUGUUGCUUCUCAAAAGGCACAUACUAUCCAAAGGAUAUUUGUCACCCGUUUUCAUGCAAGACCACUUUGUCUAAGAAAAUUACUCAUAACUCAAGUUGAAAGGAACUGGUAAUGCCAAUAACACACCUUCAGAAGAUCAAAGACCUUCUCACAGAUGUACUUCUGCUGAAUACUUGCACCACGUUGUUGUAAUUUGUCAGGAUGAACACAAAGAGUGGCUUUUCUGUAAGCUUUCUUCACCGCAGCUGCAGUUAUAACUUCUGUCAGUGGAAUUGACUGCCAACCACUAUCAGGCCCAAGUAUCUGCCAAUAAAAGAAUAAGUUUGAGUAACAAGGCAUUCACAAUUAUGAAAAAUGAAAUCUAGAUGCAGAUAUUUAGACAUUUAUAUUUCUAGCAGAACCUAAAUAACAGUAAAAAGGUGAUCAGGGAAAUUUUGUAACCUAGAAAAUGGCAAAUCAGCCAAAAAGAUGGAAAUUCAAUGUUCUAUAUAAUUUAAAUCAUGAAUCAAACAACCCCUCAGUACAUACUUAGCACACAGACAUGCAUUCAACUAUCACAGCUAUCAUUGCACCUUCACAAGCCAUUCCUGAUCCAGAGACCUUGACAUCACAAGAACCACAAAUUUUUGCAAUUUUAAUUGAUAUGUUCAAAUUACAUGUUCAAAUUUUAUCCAAGAGCAGGAUAUAGCAAUAUAAGCUUUAUUUUAUAUUUUUUAACAUGCAUUUACAUUUUUCUAGUUGCAACUUGCACCUGGAAAGACAAACAAUAUUCAUGCCAAAAAUAGGCAAGGAAACUGAAACAUACAUAUUGCAAGGUUGAAAGCAAUGCUCGCAAAUUUCCUUCUUUCCCACUUGACCACCUCUUGACAUCAGCAUCCAGAGUUUCUGCUAAUCUCUACAAACAAAAUUUAACUCAAGACGUUAAGUGAAAAAAAUUAUUUAAAAUGGAGGAGUUUGGGAAAUUUCUUUGCCAAAUUAAUUACAUUUCUCUCUGCUUGUUCUCUUUGAGCAAAAAGAUCACGCAUGUUUUUCUCCGCCAAGGCUUUUGCCUGCAAUAAAGCCAAAGGUUAGGGUUAGUUCCCCUGAUAUUAAAAACAAUGUUGGUCAUUCUGUUAAGGCAUGAAAAACCAUACCGCACGUUCAGCUGUUCUUUGAUGUCUCUCUAAUCUAGCCUUAUACCUCAGAGCUGACUCACCUUCUACUCCUUCGAAUCUUUCUGUUUAGUAGAAAACUUCUUUUUGAGGGAUACAUGUUUUAGCAGCAAUAUGGGCAAAAAAAAGCAACUAAUAUUUGUAGAAAGUAUAAGAAAAAUCAAGAAAAAAAAUUGUCCAAAAAAGAUGACGAUGGUUCUUAAAAAAUACACACCACCAUAAACGGAGGAAUAUUGAUAUCUUGAACCACUAAAUGAGCAUGAGCCUUGGGAUUGAAGAUCUUGUAGAUCAGAGGAUGAAGAGCUUGCUCUCAUUCCACUAGUCCUGGAAGAAGCAGAUAAUUUAUCUAACACAGAUCUCUCUACUUGUUCUCCUGCCUCAGAAGAAGCCCUUUCAGCCAUUGCUUUUUCAAAAGCACGCUCUCGGGCCUCUGCAGUUGCUCUCUCUACUGCAGCACGUUCUGCCCUGAGCCUGGCCUCCAUAGAUGCCUUAUCAGGUAAGGACUUUUCCCUAGCCUCUGCACAUACCUUCUCUAAUCUUUCGCAGGCCUCAUUUAGUGCUCUUUGUCGAGCUUCAGCAGUUGCUCUUUCCACAGCAGCCCAUUCUGCCCUCUCGCGAGCUUCAGCAUAUGCCCUUUCACGAGUAUCAAGUGCUGCUCUGUCAACAGCCAUUCUAUCCUUCUCUCUUUCCCUUUCCCUCUCCCUCUCUUCUUCCAACUUUCUAAGGCGUUCCAUUUCCAGCUCUCUUUCUCUCUUCAUUCUUUCUGCUUCUUUGUCUUCUGAUGAAACAGUCUCAUGAGAAUUCUUCACUUUUCUUUCAGUGCUCUGAGUUGUAUUAACCCGCUGAGCUGUCCUUUGAAUGCUUUCUUUCACUUCGAAUACAGCUGGCUGAGCUCCUCCCAUUUUCCUUGCACUAUCAACUGAUUCUUUCACUGUUUUAGCUGACAUGAAACUGGCAUUGCUGAUUUCCGGAUUUAGGGAAACUUGGGUUUGCUCAAUAUUCUUUCCUUUCUCACUCUUUUCAUAAGGAAAUUUCUUCCCUUGAUUUC
rnacentral:misc_RNA from 1 species